rnacentral:tRNA from 1 species
GGCUUCGUGGUUUAGUGGUAUAAUUCUCGCUUAGGGUAACACCCGAAGCACCGCUUGCGAGAGGUCCCGGGUUCGAUCCCCGGCGAAGCCC